rnacentral:rRNA from 1 species
AAUCAACGCUGGCGGCGCGCUUAACACAUGCAAGUCGAACGAGAAAGGGGAGCAAUCCCUGAGUAAAGUGGCGUACGGGUGAGUAACACGUGGAUGAUCUACCUCUUGGCGGGGAAUACCUCUGGGAAACCGGAGACAAUACCGCAUAAGCUCGAAAGAGGAAACCCGAAAGGGGCCGAGAGAGGAGUCCGCGGCCGAUUAGCUAGUUGGUAGGGUAAAGGCCUACCAAGGCAAAGAUCGGUAGCCGGCCUGAGAGGGCACACGGCCACACUGGCACUGAAACACGGGCCAGACUCCUACGGGAGGCAGCAGUGGGGAAGUCUUGCACAAUGGGGGCGAACCCUGAUGCAGCGACGCCGCGUGAGCGAUGAAGCCC